rnacentral:misc_RNA from 1 species
AACCAUUCUCACCUGCGGCUAGACCUGCGGAGGGAUCAUUACUGAGUCACGUGCUCAAACAACCCUUCCGUGGACCUGAAAUAAAACCGUUGCCUCGGCGGGCGGUCCCCCCCAAACCAACCCCACGUGGUGGGUUAGGGGAGACCAGACAGUCCGGUACGCUUAAGGCGUCCGGCGCCAGCCGCUGGCCCCAAACAAUUAAACUCUAGUAAUCUUUACCUUCUGAAUUUCAAUAUUUAA